UUGCAUAUUCUUAGGCCUGGUCUUGAGGCAGGAACUGAGUAGUUGGUGAACUCGCUCUAUGUUGUUCGUUCACUCGCGACGCGGUUCCUGUCCCAAGACCGAGUCUGUGAAUAUACAA
rnacentral:pre_miRNA from 1 species